rnacentral:lncRNA from 1 species
UCUCCCCGUUCCCCAAGAAGGGACCUCUCCAAGCCGCCGGCCGCCCCUACAACUCGGCGUCUGCCUGCUCCGCCAUAUUCGUUUGCCCCGCACCUGCCGCCUCUGCUCCAUGGUCGCGGGCACCUGCCGCAACUGCCAUCAGGGCAAUGGGUUACGAGUAACUGGGAUCAGGGCAAAGGGUCAAGGGCCGGCACUGCCUAGGGAAUACCCAUCUAGGGUGCUACGUAUUUAGACUACCAUAAACAGUAGGAUUUGUUCUCUUAAACACAGCCUUUCAUUUGCUUUAAAAGUUGUGCAAGUUUUUGUUUUUAGCAAAGCAUAGAAGCACAAUGAAAUACAACCGAAUGUGUGAAAUGUGCAUUGAAUUGUACAUAAGAUUAUGUGUGUUUUACACAAACAGUGAUAGAUAUGGCUUAAUGUGUGAAGCCCAUAGUUACCGGAUUCGGUCAUAUGAUCUUCGAAUCCCGACUCCGAUCGAACGGCCCAGAUCGGGAUUCGAAUUCGCUGGGUUCGAUCCAGAAUUCGCUUCCGAUUAGGGAUUUGGCCAGGAAUAGUUCACCACCACCAUCGAGCAGGCACUAAUGGUUGCAGGGAUGCCAGCGCUAGGGCCGUUCUCUGUGGAGGAAUGGAGCAUGGCCUGCGCGGCGAGAAGAAGGGAGGAACAGCGUGGACGCAGCGGACCUCGCAGGGAGAUGAACCGAACGGGAUUGCAAGACAAACUGGGGAGUGGCGGCUGCUUGGUCAAGUUCUCUCAGGAAAUUAGGUCAGGGAGGAG